GCACCCGUAGUUUAGUGGAUAGAACGUAGCGUUGCGGACGCUAAAGUCGUAGGUUCAAGUCCUACCGGGUGCACCA
rnacentral:tRNA from 1 species